AUUGAACGCUGGCGGCAGGCCUAACACAUGCAAGUCGAGCGGAGCGGCGGACGGGUGAGUAAUGCAUAGAAAUCUGCCUGGUAGUUGGGGAUAAAGUCCGGAAAGGGGCGCUAAUACCGCAGACUCUCCGAUGAGCCUAGGUAGGAUUAGCUAGUUGGUGGGUUAAAGGCCUACCAAGGAGACGAUCCGUAACUGGUCUGAGAGGAUGAUCAGUCACACGUGAACUGAGACACGGUCCAGACUCCUACGGGAGGCAGCAGUGGGGAAUAUUGGACAAUGGGCGAAAGCCUGAUCCAGCCAUGCCGCGUGUGUGAAGAAGGUCUUCGGAUUGUAAAGCACUUUAAGUUGGGAGGCGUUACCAACAGAAUAAGCACCGGCUAACUUCGUGCCAGCAGCCGCGGUAAUUC
rnacentral:rRNA from 1 species